rnacentral:rRNA from 1 species
CCGCGGUAAUACGAAGGGGGCUAGCGUUGUUCGGAAUUACUGGGCGUAAAGCGCGCGCAGGCGGUUUUGUAAGUUGGGGGUGAAAUCCCCGGGCUCAGCCCGGGAAUGGCCUUCAAGACUGCAAGGCUCGAGGACGAGAGAGGUGAGUGGAAUUCCCAGUGUGGAGGUGAAAUUCGUAGAUAUUGGGAAGAACACCGGUGGCGAAGGCGGCUCACUGGCUCGUUUCUGACGCUGAGGCGCGAAAGCGUGG